AGUGAACGCUGGCGGUAGGCCUAACACAUGCAAGUCGAACGGCAGCACAGUAAGAGCUUGCUCUUACGGGUGGCGAGUGGCGGACGGGUGAGGAAUACAUCGGAAUCUACUUUUUCGUGGGGGAUAACGUAGGGAAACUUACGCUAAUACCGCAUACGACCUACGGGUGAAAGCAGGGGAUCUUCGGACCUUGCGCGAGUGAAUGAGCCGAUGUCGGAUUAGCUAGUUGGCGGGGUAAAGGCCCACCAAGGCGACGAUCCGUAGCUGGCCUGAGAGGAUGAUCAGCCACACGGGAACUGAGACACGGUCCACACUCCUACGGGAGGCAGCAGUGGGGAAUAUUGGACAAUGGGCGCAAGCCUGAUCCAGCCAUACCGCGUGGGUGAAGAAGGCCUUCGGGUUGUAAAGCCCUUUUGUUGGGAAAGAAAAGCAGCAGGUUAAUACCCCGCUGUUCUGACGGUACCCAAAGAAUAAGCACCGGCUAACUUCGUG
rnacentral:rRNA from 1 species